rnacentral:rRNA from 1 species
UACGGAGGGUGCGAGCGUUGUCCGGAAUCAUUGGGCGUAAAGGGCGCGUAGGUGGCCUGGUCAGCGUGCGGUGAAAGCCUGGGGCUCAACCCCGGGUCGGCCGUGCGAACUGCUGGGCUUGAGCACUGUAGAGGCAGGCGGAAUUCCGGGUGUAGCGGUGGAAUGCGUAGAGAUGUGGAGGAACACCGAUGGCGAAGGCAGCCUUCUGGGCCAACACUGACGCUCAUGCACGAAAGCGUGGGGAGCAAACAGG